rnacentral:rRNA from 1 species
AACGAACGCUGGCGGCGUGCCUAACACAUGCAAGUCGAACGAGAAAGGGGCUUCGGCUCCGAGUAAAGUGGCGCACGGGUGAGUAACACGUGGGUAACCUGCCUCUAAGAUUGGGAUAACUCGUCGAAAGAUGAGCUAAUACCGAAUAAGACCACAGUUCCCGCGGGAACAGGGGUCAAAGGUAGCCUCUGCUUGCAAGCUAUCACUUGGCGAUGGGCCUGCGCACCAUUAGCUAGUUGGUAGGGUAACGGCCUACCAAGGCAAAGAUGGUUAGCUGGUCGGAGAGGAUGAUCAGCCACACUGGAACUGAGACACGGUCCAGACGCAUACGGGAGGCAGCAGUGGGGAAUAUUGAGCAAUGGGCGAAAGCCUGACGAAGAAACGCCGCGGGAGUGAUGAAGGCCUUCGGGUCGUAAAGCUCUGUCGGGAGGAACGAAUGCUCCUGAGGUUAACAGCAUCGGGAGGUGACGGUACCUGCAAAGGAAGCACCGGCUAACUAUGUG